GUGACCUGCCUACCGCUAAAACUCUUAUCCAAAAAAAUCAAAGGGUGGAGCUGUGAUCAGACCUGCAUUUCCCAAAGACAUGGCUUUGGGAACCACAGAACCAGAGAGAUGGUUCCACCGUCGAGAGCUGGUUUUUUUUAGGUCCUGGUAAUUGCAAGAGUGGGGAUUCACAAGACCAAGGAAAGGUGGGGAAGCUUGGACUGUCAAUUGGAAGUACUUAUCUGGUGUGCAUCUACCUGUUUGAGGUCCCAGUCGCCCUUCCGCUGUUGCAAGCCCCAGCAGCUCGAGGUCUGGCUCAAUUGCGUGAAGGUUUCCCAGGAAGCUGCAGACUCGGGGAACAGUUCAGUCUGCGUGACCCCCUGCUGACUGGAGUGUCUUCGAGUGCAAGUCACCCCUAGGAAGACCCCAGGAAGUCUCUCCUUUAUGUACUCAUAUGUCUUGAGGUUUCUCAAACCACAUUUCAUGAACCACUGAAUAUUCAAGAGAACUGAAUUGGAAAUCUGUACAAAAAUUAGUCUAUAACAUGUGUCUUGACAUACAAUCUUCUACUCA